rnacentral:rRNA from 1 species
GGAUGCCGAUCAUACCAGCACUAAAGCACCGGAUCCCAUCAACACUCCGAAGUUAAGCGUGCUUGGGCGAGAGUAUGUACUAGGGAUCCCAUCUGAACUCCGAAGUUAAGCGUGCU